rnacentral:rRNA from 1 species
UACGUAGGGGGCGAGCGUUGUCCGGAUUUAUUGGGCGUAAAGAGCUCGUGGGCGGUUCGGUAAGUCGAAUGUGAAAUCUCCACGCUCAACGUGGAGGGUCAUUCGAAACUGCCGUGACUUGAGUACGGUAGGGGAGUGUGGAAUUCCCGGUGUAGCGGUGAAAUGCGCAGAGAUCGGGAGGAACACCCGUAGCGAAGGCGGCACUCUGGGCCGAUACUGACGCUGAGGAGCGAAAGCGUGGGGAGCAAACAGGG